rnacentral:rRNA from 1 species
AUUGAACGCUGGCGGCAGGCCUAACACAUGCAAGUCGAACGAGUGGCGGACGGGUGAGUAAUGUCUGGGACACUGCCCGAGGGAGGGGGAUAAAUACUGGAAACGGUAGCUAAUACCGCAUACCAUCGGAUGCCCCCAGAUGGGAUUAGCGAGUAGGUGGGGUAACGGCUCACCUAGGCGACGAUCCCUAGCUGGUCUGAGAGGAUGACCAGCCAGACUGGAACUGAGACACGGGCCAGACUCCUACGGUAGGCAGCAGUGGGGAAUAUUGCACAAUGGGCGCAAGCCUGAUGCAGCCAUGCCGCGUGUAUGAAGAAGGCCUUCGGGUUGUAAAGUACUUUCAGCGAGGAGGCGUUACUCGCAGAAGAAGCACCGGCUAACUCCGUGCCAGCAGCCGCGGUAAUUC